GCUGGAAGCUCUAGAAGAGCUCGAGAGACUUAUACUUUUGAUUCCGAGUCAGAAAUCUCAGCACGCAACCAGCAAAGUGAUCCACUUGAACAUAACCUGCAGCCAUCCACCGUGAUUACUGAGUCGCAUGUCGCACCUGUUGCACCAUUGCCACCGCCAUCGCCGCCACUGCCUACUUACACCUGCCCAAUUUGCUUGGGUCCAAUGACUGAAGAGACGACCACAAGGUGUGGUCACAUUUUUUGUAAAGGCUGCAUAAAAAGUUCCCUUUCAACAGGAGACAAAUGUCCUAUUUGUCGGCACAGGAUCACCCCCAGGGGCCUCCACAGGCUUUACUUUUAUG